rnacentral:sRNA from 1 species
UUCCUGCCUCUUGGUCGCUUGCCCUCGACUUU